CAUGCGAGGUUGCUUUCUGGGGACAGACUGCCAUGCGAGGCUGCUUGCUGUGGAGUUGGGAUCCCCUUCAUGAUGUCACAACGGACCACCCAGGUUACAGAAGAAAACCCACCAGCCCAUCCAGACACAGCAUCCCCAAGAGAGGAUGUCCCUCGACCCCUUUGGGGUGCUGCCUCCAGCUGUGUGUCCCUUCCAGAAUGCAGACCCUGACCCUUUGAAGCUCAAGGGCAGCUGGUGAGAGGGAGGGUCCGCCUGGCCAGGGCCCUCAGGAGCUACAAUCCUGAAAACAAGCUCAAGGUCACCAGUCACCACCAGCCAAUGACGAUGGUCCACAGUGAGGCUGGAGGCACCUCUCACCUCUCCAACUGGACAUUACUUGGGGGUUGGUCUCUCUGUCUUCCCUCUGGACCUGCUUCUCACCACCCAAAGCAGCCCCGCCCCGACAUGACCCAGAAGUGAACAGGGGUCUGGGAAGAAGGUCAGCAGCACUCACUCGUAAACACAGUGUGCAGCAGUGACGAUCCACAUGGGCGUGAUGACAGAGCCCCCGCACAGGUGGUAGCCCUGGAACUGAAGGCUGGCCUGCCAGGGCCACUGCGAGAGCGAGGACAUGUUUCCACCCACGAUGCGUGAGCUGUAGCCCCUUCUAUGACCACAGGCUACGGAAGGGAACAAGGGCUUGUGGCUCCACCCUGCAGACUUCUUUGGGGGACAUGGUGUCACCACCAUGCACCUGCUCCUCUCUCCCCACCCUCACUGCCCCCCACCCUCCCAGAGCUCACAGCAGCUGUAAGACAAGUGCUGCAAGGGGGAGCUCAGCAGGGGAGGCUCUUGGGGAGACCUGAGGAUGGUAGGUGCUGUGGGGGAUGUGGUGGGAAAAGCAUCUGCCCUACUUGGUCAGUGCCCAGCGUUGGCAGUGCCACUCCCCAUCCUGUUCCCCCAGUGAUGACAACACCCUGGGAUGUCAGGAGCAGGCAGGAACCUUCUGCAGCCCCCUCCUCACGGCUGCAGGUGUACACACCUCCCUGACUGCUCCAGACUCCACCCUUGCGGUGUGAACACUCCCCUCUGCCAGGAAUGAGGGGUACUGCCCGAGGCCUGGAGUGAGCACUGUGCACGUGUAAGGAGGAAAUGGGUACUAAGUCAGGGACUCAAGGCUCUACAGAGCGAUGGGACAUCAUGGGCCUUGGUCCUGUCUGCUGCUAAUGAGUUGCUCUGGCUGUCUCCCCCACCUGACAGGUGAGGCCAACAGGUGAGGAUGACACUGCUCCCCUCGUCCGGCAGGUAGGGGUACACAGAGUUCCCACCUGGCACCCAAGGGGAAGGGACACAGAGCCCCAUGGGAGAGAGGACUCAGCGGGCAAGGAGAUAGGACUCAGCGUGUGCUUGCUUCCCCCAGACCCCUGCCUUUCUAGAACUCUUACCUGUGCACUGCAAGGUAACCACGUGGCCAGAGGCACAUCCUUCCCUAAAGCGGAGAAAAAGUAGGCUCCAUGAAAAAUGCCCCAGGUCUGUGAAAGGAACACUCUUAAAAACUUAAUCUUAGGGUAACAGAAAAAUAAAUUCUAUUUCCCCCUCUCUUGAA